AAAAGUAAUUGUGGUUUUUG
rnacentral:miRNA from 3 species